GCAUCGAUGAAGAACGCAGUGAAUUGCGAUAACUAGUGUGAAUUGCAUUACUUUGUGAAUCAUCGAGUCUUUGAACGCACAUUGCACUGACUGGCCCUCCAGUCAGUAUAUCUGUUUGAGUAUCGUGACCCUCCUACUAGUGAGAGCUAGUGAAGUGGACUGCUAUCGACGAGAUAUGGUCUUGAAAGGAUAGUCUUUGACGAGGCGCCUGCCUGAGCAAACAGCUGUGACAAGUGCCUAGUGCCUUUGAAGCGAGCCUGUGAGUGAGGAGUGGGAGCGUCGUUGGGGAGUGUAGUGGUGGUGGCUGUAGGUGGCAGUGAGUGUGCUUAGGCAUGCCCACCUCACCUCAACCACCUCAACCACACCUAAUACAAGCGAUCUCAAAUCAGACAAGAUUACCCGCUAAACUUAAGCAUAUCAAUAAGCGGAGGA
rnacentral:rRNA from 1 species